GUUGAAACUGGCGUUCUUGAGUGGGCGAGAAGUAUGCGGAAUGCGUGGUGUAGCGGUGAAAUGCAUAGAUAUCACGCAGAACUCCGAUUGCGAAGGCAGCAUACCGGCGCCCUACUGACGCUGAGGCACGAAAGCGUGGGUAUCGAACAGGAUUAGAUACCCUGGUAGUCCACGCAGUAAACGAUGAAUGCUAACUGUCCGGUGCGAGUGAGCGCUGGGCGGUACAGCGAAAGCGUUAAGCAUUCCACCUGGGGAGUACGCCGGCAACGGUGAAACUCAAAGGAAUUGACGGGGGCCCGCACAAGCGGAGGAACAUGUGGUUUAAUUCGAUGAUACGCGAGGAACCUUACCCGGGCUCAAACGCAGGCUGACGGGUCCCGAAAGGGGCCUUUCUUCGGACAUUCUGCGAGGUGCUGCAUGGUUGUCGUCAGCUCGUGCCGUGAGGUGUCGGCUUAAGUGCCAUAACGAGCGCAACCCCUGUCCACAGUUGCCAGCAGGUAAAGCUGGGGACUCUGUGGAGACUGCCGGCGCAAGCUGCGAGGAAGGCGGGGAUGACGUCAAAUCAGCACGGCCCUUACGUCCGGGGCGACACACGUGUUACAAUGGCAGGUACAGCGGGAUGCCACGGGGCGACCCGGCGCUGAACCCGAAAACCUGUCUCAGUUCGGAUUGGAGUCUGCAACCCGACUCCAUGAAGCUGGAUUCGCUAGUAAUCGCGCAUCAGCCACGGCGCGGUGAAUACGUUCCCGGGCCUUGUACACACCGCCCGUCAAGCCAUGGAAGCCGGGGGUACCUGAAGUGCGUGACCGCGAGGAGCGCCCUAGGGUAAAACCGGUGACUGGGGCUAAGUCGUAACAAGGUAACCGUAA
rnacentral:rRNA from 1 species